ACAGAAGAAAGCACCGGCUAACUCCGUGCCAGCAGCCGCGGUAAUACGGAGGGUGCGAGCGUUAAUCGGAAUUACUGGGCGUAAAGCGCAUGCAGGUGGUUUGUUAAGUCAGAUGUGAAAGACCCGGGGCGUCAACCUCGGAAUUGCAUUUGAAACUAGGCAGACUAGAGUACUGUAGAGGGGGGUAGGAAUUUCAGGUGUAGCGGUGAAAUAGCGUAGAGAUCUGAAGGAAUACCGGUGGCGAAGGCGGCCCCCUCGGACAGAUACUGACACUCAGAUGCGAAAGCGUGGGGAGCAAACAGGAUUAGAUACCCUGGUAG
rnacentral:rRNA from 1 species